rnacentral:lncRNA from 1 species
AUAUAUAUAUGUAUACAUGUGAUAUUUCAAAUAAGGUUGAAUGGAUUAGGAACAAGGGAGCAUUCAUUAUUGAAAAGUUUAACACUUUUAAUAAUAUUGAAUUAUGCUCAUAUUUUGUUUUCUAAACUUGAUAGUAACGUGGUUUAAAAGGCUUUGAUUCAUUCCACAAAAAUGGAGUGUGUAUAAUCAUUUUUUAAGUACGAUAUUUUAAAAUCACUGUAGUAGACUGUUUCAUACCAAUCGAAAUUAUGUAUUCCUAAUAUAAGACU